rnacentral:rRNA from 1 species
UACGAAGGGUGCAAACGUUGCUCGGAAUUAUUGGGCGUAAAGCGCACGUAGGCGGCUUUGUAAGUCGGAUGUGAAAUCCCUCGGCUUAACCAAGGAAGUGCAUCCGAAACUACAGAGCUUGAGUACUUAAGAGGAUCGCGGAAUUCCCGGUGUAGAGGUGAAAUUCGUAGAUAUCGGGAGGAACACCAGUGGCGAAGGCGGGUCCCUGGACAACACCUGACACUGAGGCACGAAAGCUAGGGGAGCAAACAGG